rnacentral:rRNA from 1 species
GACGAACGCUGGCGGCGUGCUUAACACAUGCAAGUCGAACGGAAAGGCCCUGCUUUUGUGGGGUGCUCGAGUGGCGAACGGGUGAGUAACACGUGAGUAACCUGCCCUUGACUUUGGGAUAACUUCAGGAAACUGGGGCUAAUACCGGAUAGGAGCUCCUGCUGCAUGGUGGGGGUUGGAAAGUUUCGGCGGUUGGGGAUGGACUCGCGGCUUAUCAGCUUGUUGGUGGGGUAGUGGCUUACCAAGGCUUUGACGGGUAGCAGGCCUGGGAGGGUGACCGGCCACAUUGGGACUGGGAUGCGGCACAGACUCCUCCGGGAGGGAGCGGAGGGGAAUAUAGCACAGUGGGCGGAAGCCUAAUGCGGCAACGCCGCGUGCGGGAUGACAGCCUUCGGGUAGUAAACCGCUUUCGCCUGUGACGAAGCGUGAGUGACGGUAAUGGGUAAAGAAGCACCGGCUAACUACGUG